UACAGAGGUCCCCAGCGUUGUUCGGAUUCACUGGGCGUAAAGGGUGCGUAGGUGGCUGGGAAAGUUUGAUGUGAAAGCUCGGAGCUUAACUCCGAAAUGGCAUUGAAUACUUCCUAGCUUGAGGGUCGGAGGGGAGACUGGAAUUCUCGGUGUAGCAGUGAAAUGCGUAGACAUCGAGAGGAACACCAGUGGCGAAGGCGAGUCUCUGGACGACUCCUGACACUGAGGCACGAAAGCUCGGGGAGCAAACAGG
rnacentral:rRNA from 1 species